rnacentral:piRNA from 1 species
AAGCCUUUCUAUUCCGUGCUCUGGGUGA